rnacentral:rRNA from 1 species
CAUGUCUGGAAUCCUGAAGAGAUUUAGGAGUGCUCGAAAGAGAACCAGAACACAGGUGCUGCAUGGCCGUCGUCAGCUCGUGUCGUGAGAUGUUGGGUUAAGUCCCGCAACGAGCGCAACCCUUGUCAUUAGUUGCUACGAAAGGGCACUCUAAUGAGACUGCCGGUGACAAACCGGAGGAAGGUGGGGAUGACGUCAGGUCCUCAUGGCCCUUAUGGGUAGGGCUACACACGUCAUACAAUGGCCGGUACAGAGGGCUGCCAACCCGCGAGGGGGAGCCAAUCCCAGAAAACCGGUCGUAGUCCGGAUCGCAGUCUGCAACUCGACUGCGUGAAGUCGGAAUCGCUAGUAAUCGCGGAUCAGCUUGCCGCGGUGAAUACGUUCCCGGGUCUUGUACACACCGCCCGUCACACCAUGGGAGCGGGUUCUGCCAGAAGUAGUUAGCCUAACCGCAAGGAGGGCGAUUACCAUGGCAGGGUUCGUGACUGGGGUGA